rnacentral:antisense_RNA from 1 species
ACCAUACAUCAGUCAUCUGGCAGCAGCUCAAGAAGCAUGUCCUCCACGCCGUCAAUCUGAGAGGCAGAGAGAGAGAGAAGGCAUUGAUCGGCCAGAGCCCUCCACUCCCUCCAUUCCUCACUCCUGCGCCUUCCCCUAGCUGGAAACAGCAGGCUGGAAUGCAAUGGUGUGAUCUUGGCUCACUGCGACCUCCACCUCCUGGGUUCAAGCGAUUCUCCUGCUUCUGCCUCCCGAGUAGCUGGGAUUACAGACAAAGAAUUCAAGACUAAGCUGGGCAUGGUGGCACGCACCUGUAGUCUCAGCUACUUGGGAGGCUGAGGCAGGAGAAUCACAUGAACCUGGCAGGCUGAGGUUGCAGUGAGCCGAGAUUGCGCCACUGCACUCCAGCCUGGCCACAGAGCAAGACUCCAUCUCAAAAAAAAAAAAAAAAAGAAGAAGUCAAGACUAAGAAGAGUGAAGUAUGAAGUAAUUCACCCACAGACACCCAGCUAGUGAGUGGCAGACCUGGAAGACAAACUAGUUCUGUUUGGCAUCAGAAUCUAUGCUGUCAGCCAUCUCACCACAUUCAUGUGACAUCCAACAAAGUGGUCCUUCACCUGCUACUAAGUCUUGCUAGGGCUAGUUCCAGAGCCAAGACUAUGAAGUGGACAAUGAUCUA